rnacentral:rRNA from 1 species
UACGUAGGCAGCGAGCGUUGUUCGGAGUUACUGGGCGUAAAGCGUGCGUAGGCGGUGUCUUAAGUUUGUUGUGAAACCUCCCGGCUUAACCGGGAGGGUGCGGCGAAUACUGAGAUGCUGGAGUGCGGGAGAGGUAAGCGGAAUUCCUGGUGUAGCGGUGAAAUGCGUAGAUAUCAGGAGGAACACCUGCGGUGUAGACGGCUUACUGGACCGUAACUGACGCUGAGGCACGAAAGCGUGGGUAGCAAACAGG